AGCAAAGUUCUGUGAAAACCCCUGCAUGAACUGGGCCCCUGACUCCAGGAAAACAGAGGCAUCUUCCAAUGUCCUUGGAGCCAUGAGACCCCGAAACACCUACCGGGAACAGAGGGGCUUCACCCAGACAGGCCCCACCAGGGAGGAGGAGGCCGCUCUCCCUCCCACCACCGUUGUCGGGGGUGACCCGAGGUGUUCCAGAUGAGGAGCUGAAUCACUGGGACUUAAGUCAAUAAGUGGCAGCCACCAGGCAGGCUCCAUCGUCCACCUCAGACCAUCUCGGGUUUGCUGGUCUUCUGGACUAGCGCAGCCAGAAAGAACCCAGGAAGGAAGCCUCACGUCUGACACAAGAACCUUCGGUGCUAACCCGAGGGCGGUAUGUGCAUCCUCAGCACCUGCCCAUCCGGCACCAUCCUCUGAUCCAGGGACUGUGAGCAACAGGGCCCCGUGGCCAGGACAUCUCUCACCCUCCAGUUAAAAUCUCGCCAGUUGAGUCUGCCCAUGAAAGUAGGCGCUGAACUGCCCAAUAAAUCCACAAGUAAGAGUUGCAAGAAGGAGCCAAAAAGGGCUGAGCUGAAUGACUCAUAUAUGAAAUAAUUUGAUAAUUAAUAUAAAUAGGAAAUUUAAAGUCUCCAGCUGAGUGACAGAAAACACCUUAAAAAGCUCAAGAGAGAGGAAAGGAAGAAAAUAAACCUAUAAUUGCAAAAUAAAAGCAUUGAAAGAAGCCGUGCUCAAGGUAAGAUGCUACAGAUGCAAUAAAUUCAUGUUUUAACAUUAGCAACGUGUGGGCAACGGUGUUCCCUGGGGAACUGGCUGCAUGAAGCCUCUCUGGAGAGCUGGGCCAGGCCAGUGGGAGGGCAGCUGGCACGGCCGGGGCUGGUGCGGGGUCCUGAGGCCAGAACCUGCCGGAGGGCCGUCCCCAAGGACCAACAGGCACGGGAGAGGCAGAAUAUAAACGCAGUCAGGGAGUAAAGGCUGUGCAUUCUCCCCGGGUAUUGCCUCCACCACCCCCGGGCCACACUUGGGCCUGCCCAGUUCCCCUAGCUCUUCUCUUUCCUGCCUUGCCUGCCUAAGGCCCCUCUCCCCCUGCACUCCACUCGUAUCUGCUUCUCCGCCUCCUGCCCAGUCAGCCUGCUGUGCAGAGCUCCCGCAGCUGCCUCAGAUCCACCCUUCCUGGGUGGCUGCUCCUCCCCGCCACCGCCCUAGGAGCACCCCAAGUAAAAUCUGGUUUUUCUCCCCUCCAGGUCUGCCUCUGCCUUUGCUCCUGCUAUCCCCAGGGCCCCAGGUGCCCCUCCCUCCACCUCAUCCUUCUGGACCCAGCAAAUGUCCUCCACCAGGAGGCCUUUCUGGACCUCCUCAUCCUCCUGGAAGGAGCCUCUCCCACCCCGAAGUCCUUUAACUAUUUACUUGUCCCUCUCCUUCGUACUGAGCUUAUGCUGUAUUUGUUUAUGUGCUUAUCUUCUACUGGGCUCAUCUCUGUAACCUUUUUAUUCUUUUAUUCAUUCAUUCCACAAAUACUAAUUGAGCACCUACUAUGUGCCAGACCCCAUGCUAGGACUGGGGACACAAUGAUGAGCAAGACAGACACUGUCCCUGCCACCCUGGAACUCCCAUCUUGGAGAGAAACAACAAAAACAAAACACGAAGCAAAUAAACAUUAGUAAACACGUCAGGAUAAGCGGCGAUAUAGGCUGGGAUAGAAAGGUGUAGGUGAUGUGAGAGGCGAGUGUCCGUGCGGACAGAGGAGCUGGGGGAGGAGACUCUGAGGCCAGAGGUGUGAGCGGAGUGAGUCGGGCACGCUUUCCAGACACAAAAUCGGUGUUUGCUAAACAUGCGUGGAACAAAUGAGUGGCUAACAAGCCAGAAAUCCCAAGCGCGUGCCCCGUGUCGCUCCAGACACAACUUCCCCACCCUCAUCACCCUGUGGGUCACUCCGACUGGCACCCAGACGCGUUUCCCAGCCCACACGCCUGCUACAGGGCCCACCUGUGUCACCCUCGCAGAGGCGCUUACCAGGACUCAAGGGGCUCUCCGCUCAGAACCCCUCAUGGCCUCCCUGACACCACCAGCGGCCCUCGGGCUGGACAGCAAGCGGGUUUUGUCUCGCCUGCAGACUCCAGCCCCGGAGCACCACGCAUGGAAGCGCAGCGAGGCCGCCCCUGGGCUCGGUGGGAAAGAGCCCUGAUCGACUGGUGGCGUCUGCCAGGGGACGGCAGAAGACAGAGAGGCACAUUUGCCACGUAUUUUCCUUGUCACCCAGGGCUCCGCAAAUGACCACUCAGGCAAGAAAUCUCCUUCAGGUCUAAUUGCCUGGACGAGCAUUCAGUAUCUGGUGCCCUUUCCUUAUGGGCCACGUGAACCACGUCACUGAUUUUUUUUUCCUGCUUUGACUGCUCAUUAGCUCAGAGCUAAAUGUGUGGUUCAAACACAGCAAAGUAUAUACAGCUCGAUGGCCUGAAUAGGGGGUCUAACUCUCCCCCUGCUUUCAACCUUCUAGCUAAUCUACAUCUAUGUCUUUCCUGAUCUUAUUUUUUUGAUCUCUAUUUAGUUACAUGUCCAUAUACAUACACACAUAUAUGUAUAGACAUAUAUAAACAGACAUACAUACAUAUAUAAAUAUAAAAUAUCUACAUAUAGGUCUGGUAUGUAAUACCUACUUUACUUUUUUUCUAUGAAUGUAUCUUUUAGAUAUAUAGAUAUAUUAUGAAUAUAUCUUACUUUAAAAAAUAGAGACAGGGUCU
rnacentral:lncRNA from 1 species